CCCUUAGAUGUUCUGGGCCGCACGCGCGCUACACUGACGAAUGCAACGAGCUUAUAACCUUGGCCGAAAGGUCUGGGUAAUCUCCAAAUUUCGUCGUGAUGGGGAUAGAUUAUUGCAAUUAUUAAUCUUCAACGAGGAAUGCCUAGUAAACGCAAGUCAUCAGCUUGCAUUGAUUACGUCCCUGCCCUUUGUACACACCGCCCGUCGCACCUACCGAUUGAAUGGUCCGGUGAAAUUCUCGGACGCGGACUAGCGAUGUUAAUUCGGAGCUUGACUGUGAAAGUUAAUUAAACCUUACCAUUUAGAGGAAGGUGAAGUCGUAACA
rnacentral:rRNA from 1 species